rnacentral:rRNA from 1 species
AACGAACGCUGGCGGCAUGCCUAACACAUGCAAGUCGAACGAGACCUUCGGGUCUAGUGGCGCACGGGUGGGUAACGCGUGGGAACCUGCCCUUAGGUUCGGAAUAACUCCCCGAAAGGGGUGCUAAUACCGGAUAAUGUCUUCGGACCAAAGAUUUAUCGCCUUUGGAUGGGCCCGCGUUGGAUUAGCUAGUUGGUAGGGUAAAAGCCUACCAAGGCGACGAUCCAUAGCUGGUCUGAGAGGAUGAUCAGCCACACUGGGACUGAGACACGGCCCAGACUCCUACGGGAGGCAGCAGUGGGGAAUAUUGGACAAGGGGCGAAAGCCUGAUCCAGCAAUGCCGCGUGAGUGAUUAAGGCCUUAGGGUUGUAAAGCUCUUUUACCCGGGAUGAUAAUGACAGUACCGGGAGAAUAAGCUCCGGCUAACUCCGUG